GAUCAUGGCUCAGGAUGAACGCUAGCGACAGGCUUAACACAUGCAAGUCGAGGGGCAGCGAGGGAGUGGCAACACUCCUGUCGGCGACCGGCGCACGGGUGAGUAACGCGUAUGUAACCUGCCCUUCACAGGGGGGAUAACCGGGAGAAAUUCCGACUAAUACCGCAUACGUCCUCCGGGGGCAUCCUUGGGGGAUGAAAGAAUUAUCGGUGAAGGAUGGGCAUGCGUGAUAUUAGGUAGUUGGCGGGGGCAACCGG
rnacentral:rRNA from 1 species